rnacentral:rRNA from 1 species
UAGAGUUUGAUCAUGGCUCAGGAUGAACGCUAGCGGCAGGCUUAACACAUGCAAGUCGAGGGGCAUCGGGAGGGAAGCUUGCUUUCCUUGCCGGCGACCGGCGCACGGGUGAGUAACACGUAUGCAACCUGCCCUCUUCAGGGGGACAACCUUCCGAAAGGGAGGCUAAUCCCGCGUAUAUCGGUUUCGGGCAUCCGAGAUCGAGGAAAGAUUCAUCGGAAGAGGAUGGGCAUGCGGCGCAUUAGCUUGACGGCGGGGUAACGGCCCACCGUGGCGACGAUGCGUAGGGGUUCUGAGAGGAAGGUCCCCCACACUGGUACUGAGACACGGACCAGACUCCUACGGGAGGCAGCAGUGAGGAAUAUUGGUCAAUGGGAGAGAUCCUGAACCAGCCAAGCCGCGUGAGGGAAGACGGCCCUAUGGGUUGUAAACCUCUUUUGUCGGAGAACAAAACCCGGGACGUGUCCCGGACUGCGUGUAUCCGAAGAAAAAGCAUCGGCUAACUCCGUGCCAGCAGCCGCGGUAAUACGGAGGAUGCGAGCGUUAUCCGGAUUUAUUGGGUUUAAAGGGUGCGUAGGCGGUCCGUUAAGUCAGCGGUAAAAUUGCGGGGCUCAACCCCGUCGAGCCGUUGAAACUGGCAGACUUGAGUUGGCGAGAAGUACGCGGAAUGCGCGGUGUAGCGGUGAAAUGCAUAGAUAUCGCGCAGAACUCCGAUUGCGAAGGCAGCGUACCGGCGCCACACUGACGCUGAGGCACGAAAGCGUGGGGAUCGAACAGGAUUAGAUACCCU